rnacentral:rRNA from 1 species
AACGCUGGCGGCAGGCUUAACACAUGCAAGUCGAGCGGGGAAAGGUAGCUUGCUACCUGACCUAGCGGCGGACGGGUGAGUAAUGCUUAGGAAUUUGCCUAUUAGUGGGGGACAACAUUCCGAAAGGAAUGCUAAUACCGCAUACGCCCUACGGGGGAAAGCAGGGGAUCUUCGGACCUUGCGCUAAUAGAUGAGCCUAAGUCAGAUUAGCUAGUUGGGGGGGUAAAGGCCUACCAAGGCGACGAUCUGUAGCGGGUCUGAGAGGAUGAUCCGCCACACUGGGACUGAGACACGGCCCACACUCCUACGGGAGGCAGCAGUGGGGAAUAUUGGACAAUGGGCGAAAGCCUGAUCCAGCCAUGCCGCGUGUGUGAAGAAGGCCUUUUGGUUGUAAAGCACUUUAAGCGAGGAGGAGGCUACUUAUAUUAAUACUCUAGGAUAGUGGACGUUACUCGCGGAAUAAGCACCGGCUAACUCUGUGCCAGCAGCCGCGGUAAUACAGAGGGUGCGAGCGUUAAUCGUAUUUACUGGGCGUAAAGCGUGCGUAGGCGGCUUUUUAAGUCGGAUGUGAAAUCCCUGAGCUUAACUUAGGAAUUGUAUUCGAUACUGGGAAGCUAGAGUAUGG